rnacentral:lncRNA from 1 species
GCGGCAUUGCCGAGAGGCACAGAGGCCGGGGAGCCCGCGUGGUGCUGGCACUUGUGUGAAAAACAUCCGUCUUCCUGUCGUCAUCACUGAGUGAGCCCACGGUCACCAAUCCCUGGGUCACAGCUCCCCAAAACCAAGAGAAACAGCCAGCGGGACAAGGCCAGGGCAGCCCUAAACAUGCCACAUCACCCCAGUGCUAUGCGAAGGAAGCUUCAGGGGCAUCUUCAAGGAAAUGUGUGAAUCUGAAUAAAUUUUACAGAUUAAAACUUUUACAAAAUUUAUAAAAUUUUAAUCAUUCCAAUUAAGCAUUUAGAACACUACUUGGUUAGUGGGAAAUUUAUAGCUCUAAAUGCCCAUCCUCAAAAGAAGAAAUGCUUAAAAUCAACGACCUGAAGUUCCACCUUAAAAUGCUAGAAAAAGAAGAGCAAAAGUAACACAAAGUAAGUGUUAACAAAAAAUAAAGAACAGAAAUCAAUGAAAUAAAGAGCAGAUGACAGAGAAAUUUAGCAAAACCAAAAGUUGGUUCUUUGAAGGGACUGGCAAACUUGAUAAACUCCAACCUAGACUGAUCAAGAAGAGAGAGAGCACAUGUUAGCAAGACCAGGAAUGGAGGAGGGUCAUCAUAACAGACCCUACAGGCAUCAAGAGAAUCAGCAGCAGAUGGUCGUUGUCUGGGCCCCAGCUCAGACUAAAGAGAGCUUUUUGGACAGAAACCUGUGUAUCAAUUGUGAUAGUUACACGAGUAUUUCCAUGGUAUUUCCAUUUGUUAAAGAUGCAAAAUUUUGUUGGAUGUAUGUUAUACUUCAAUGAACUUGAUAUCAACAGUAAAAAGGUUUUCCUGCCUUCUUAAACAGAGACAAUUUUUCAUGUUCCUCUGCU